rnacentral:rRNA from 1 species
AUUGAACGCUGGCGGCAGGCCUAACACAUGCAAGUCGAGCGGAUGAAGGGAGCUUGCUCCUGGAUUCAGCGGCGGACGGGUGAGUAAUGCCUAGGAAUCUGCCUGGUAGUGGGGGAUAACGUCCGGAAACGGGCGCUAAUACCGCAUACGUCCUGAGGGAGAAAGUGGGGGAUCUUGGGCCCUCAGGUAUCAGAUUAGCCCUAGGUCGGAUUAGCUAGUUGGUGGGGUAAAGGCCUACCAAGGCGACGAUCCGUAACUGGUCUGAGAGGAUGAUCAGUCACACUGGAACUGAGACACGGUCCAGACUCCUACGGGAGGCAGCAGUGGGGAAUAUUGGACAAUGGGCGAAAGCCUGAUCCAGCCAUGCCGCGUGUGUGAAGAAGGUCUUCGGAUUGUAAAGCACUUUAAGUUGGGAGGAAGGGCAGUAAGUUAAUACCUUGCUGUUUUGACGUUACCAACAGAAUAAGCACCGGCUAACUUCGUG